CCUACGGGUGGCAGCAGUGGGGAAUAUUGGACAAUGGGGGGAACCCUGAUCCAGCGACGCCGCGUGAGUGAAGAAGUAUUUCGGUAUGUAAAGUUCUGUCGCAGGGGACGAAAAUGACGGUACCCUGCAAGAAAGCUCCGGCUAACUACGUGCCAGCAGCCGCGGUAAUACGUAGGGAGCAAGCGUUGUCCGGAAUUACUGGGUGUAAAGGGAGCGUAGGCGGGAGGAUAAGUUGAAUGUGAAAUCUAUGGGCUCAACCCAUAGCUGCGUUCAAAACUGUUCUUCUUGAGUGAAGUAGAGGCAGGCGGAAUUCCUAGUGUAGCGGUGAAAUGCGUAGAUAUUAGGAGGAACACCAGUGGCGAAGGCGGCCUGCUGGGCUUUUACUGACGCUGAGGCUCGAAAGCGUGGGUAGCAAACAGGAUUAGAUACCCGAGUAGUC
rnacentral:rRNA from 1 species